rnacentral:rRNA from 1 species
GUCUCAGGCCCUAUCAGCCUGAAGGCGCCCGAUCUCGUCUGAUCUCGGAAGCUAAAAAAGAAGUGCAUCCACUGUGUGCCAGACA